rnacentral:rRNA from 1 species
GAAGUAAAAGUCGUAACAAGGUUUCCGUAGGUGAACCUGCGGAAGGAUCAUUACUGUUGAACAGUUUGGUGGAAUGCACAUGCGUACACACUGUGUGUAUGGCGUUUGAUGAUAAACGUUUGAUCGACGGGGAGAAUGUGAAUAACGGCUAAAUGUGUGCCGUAAACCAUCUGUUGGUUGCUUGAAUACAGUUGCUGUCAGUCAGCAGACAGGUACCAUGGUGCAGGUGAUGAACACACGGGCUGAUAGGUCGAUGGACCAGGCCGCACCGGUUUAAAGGAGCAACGUCCGCCUGAACUGUAGUCGUUGAAUGAAUGACCGAAAUUCGAAAACGGCGUAAACGAUUUUCAGUGAAAAUCACUUACCAUCGAUAUAAAAUGGAAUAUAUGAGAAAGUAUAUUUUGAGCAGUGGAUCACUGGGUUCGUUGGUCGAUGAAAAACGGUGCAAAACUCGAGAGUUUAUGUGAAUUGCAGACAUAUUGAACGUUGAUAUUUUGAACGCAUAUGGUGGCAAAGACUGCUGUCGAUGCCACGGCCGUUUGAGGGUCAGUUGAUGCACUUUGAUAAUCGAAUAGACUGACCGAUCGAUGAUAAUGAUACCGGUGGUCAUGUGAAUAGUUCGAUACCGGUUUAUGUCGUGCUUACGUCGCGUUAUCACCUUAAUGGUGAUGACGGCGAAGACGGCUUAUACGAAGUGUACGGCGUUAUUGAUUGAAUACGCCGGUCGGAGGUAAAAGAUGAAAUGUAAGAAGUCAUCCGUUUCUCCGGUGUUGGACAGAGAAGGACAAAAAGAAAUGCGAUGUUGGCGCUUUCUACAUGAUGGUGUUGGUGUUCGUUUGAAAUGUGAAACGACCUCAAGUCGGUCGAGGCUAACCGCUAAAUUUAAGCAUAUUACUAAGCGGUUGAAAAGAACUAAAAGGAUUUGUUCAGUAGCAGCGAGCGAAAGCGAAAGUUCAUGACUGAUCAGGCAAUGUCUUACAAUGCGUCGGAAAUGUGGUGUGAAGAAUGCUUUGGCACGUGUUCGAUCGAAUAACAAACUCUCUGAACUGAUUCCAGAAGUUGAAGCGUGCACAAUUCUUGUGCAGACACA